UACGUAGGGGGCGAGCGUUGUCCGGAGUUACUGGGCGUAAAGCGCUUGUAGGCGGUCCACCAAGUUUGGGGUGACAGUUGCCGACUUAAUCGGCAAAGUGCCUCAAAGACUGGCGGACUUGAGGACCACAGAGGGACAUGGAACUCCAGGUGUAGUGGUGAAAUGCGUAGAUAUCUGGAAGAACACCAAAGGCGAAGGCAGUGUCCUGGGUGGUCGCUGACGCUGAGAGGCGAAAGCCAGGGGAGCGAACGGG
rnacentral:rRNA from 1 species